AACGGGGGGAACGAGUGUUUAUUCGUCGUAAUUGGGCGUAAAGGGUUCGUAGCUGGUUCAAAAAGUUUUCUUUGCCAAACCCUUCGACAACGUCGAAAGCCGGCCUAGAUUUACCUAUUGAACUUAGAGAUCAGCAGAAGUUUGCGGUACUCUUGAUGUAGAGAGUGACAUCCGAAAAUAUCAAUGGGGACUAACCAUUUGGCCAAGGCAGCAUUCUAAUGUUGUAUCUGACGGUGAGGGACGAAAGCAUGGGGAGCGAACAGUUU
rnacentral:rRNA from 1 species